AUGUCGCUGCUGGAAGUUCUGCGAGGGCCGCAGACACGGAAGGCGGAAGGAAUGGCAGGUGUCUUCUCGGAUCGGGGAACCUCUGCUUUCGGAGGAGCCUUGGCGCUCAGGGUCACUAGGAACACGAAAAUUAACACAGAAAAUAAGGCCAAAGUCAGUAUGGCAGGUGCCAAGCGUGUGCCUCUGACAGUUACUGCUGCUUCCAAGCCCGGGCUGAGACGGAGAACUUCUCUUGGAGACAUUGGUAAUAAAGUCAGCGAAGAGCUACAGGCAAGAGUGCCUCUGAAAAGGGAAGCGAAAAUGCUAGGUACUGGAAAAGGUACUGUUAAAGUCUACCAAAACCUGUAGAGAAGGUGCCUGUGUGUGAACCAGAGGUGGAACUUCUUGAGCCUGAGCCUGAGCCUGAACAUGUUAGAGAAGAGAAGCUUUCUCCCGAACCUAUUUUGGUUGAUAAUCCCUCUCCAAGCCCAAUGGAAACAUCUGGAUGUGCGCCUGCAGAGGAGUAUCUGUGUCAGGCUUUCUCGGAUGUAAUCCUUGCAGUGAGUGACGUAGACGCAGAUGAUGGAGCGGACCCAAACCUCUGUAGUGAAUAUGUGAAAGAUAUCUAUGCUUACCUCAGACAACUGGAGGAAGAGCAGUCAGUUAGACCAAAAUACCUACAGGGUCNUGAAGUCACUGGAAACAUGAGAGCUAUCCUCAUUGAUUGGCUAAUACAGGUUCAGAUGAAAUUUAGGCUGCUUCAGGAGACCAUGUACAUGACUGUGUCCAUUAUUGAUCAGUUCAUGCAGAACAGUUGUGUGCCCAAGAAGAUGCUGCAGCUGGUUGGUGUAACGGCCAUGUUUAUUGCAAGCAAAUAUGAGGAGAUGUACCCUCCAGAAAUAGGUGACUUCGCCUUUGUGACUAACAACACUUACACUAAGCACCAGAUCAGACAGAUGGAGAUAAAGAUUCUCAGAGUUCUGAACUUCAGCCUGGGUUGCCCUCUGCCUCUGCACUUCCUCUGCAGAGCAUCUAAAGUCGGAGAGGUGGACGUCNAGCAGCACACUUUGGCCAAAUACCUCAUGGAGCUCUCCAUGCUGGACUACGACAUGGUACAUUUUGCUCCUUCUCAAAUUGCAGCUGGGGCUUUCUGCUUAGCCCUGAAAAUUCUUGACAACGGUGAAUGGACACCAACUCUGCAGCACUACCUGUCCUACACAGAAGAAUCCCUGCUUCCUGUUAUGCAGCACCUGGCUAAGAAUGUAGUCAUGGUGAACUGUGGCAUUACAAAGCACAUGACUGUCAAGAACAAGUAUGCAGCAUCCAAGCAUGCUAAGAUCAGCACGCUGGCACAGCUGAACUGUACACUAGUUCAGAACUUGUCUAAGGCCGUGACAAAGGCAUAA